GUACUGAAAUGCAUGGUGGGAAAUCAGUGUGUAAUUCAUUGGCUGUGCCUGCAACCGUAAAGUCGGAGCGCCACCCAGUAU
ncrna:unclassified sequences AdoCbl variant RNA